rnacentral:rRNA from 1 species
AGUGAACGCUGGCGGUAGGCCUAACACAUGCAAGUCGAACGGCAGCACAGUAAGAGCUUGCUCUUACGGGUGGCGAGUGGCGGACGGGUGAGGAAUACAUCGGAAUCUACUUUUUCGUGGGGGAUAACGUAGGGAAACUUACGCUAAUACCGCAUACGACCUACGGGUGAAAGCAGGGGAUCUUCGGACCUUGCGCGAUUGAAUGAGCCGAUGUCGGAUUAGCUAGUUGGCGGGGUAAAGGCCCACCAAGGCGACGAUCCGUAGCUGGUCUGAGAGGAUGAACACACACAGGGAAUGUGAGACAGGGCCGACACCCCCAGGGGGGAGAGGUGGGGGAAAUUUGAGAAAAGGGGCAAAACCGUGCCACCCCCACCGCGUGGGGGAAGAAAGGCUUCGGGGGUUAAAACCCCUUUUUUGGGGAAGAAAAAAGGCACGGGUAAAUCCCCCGGUUCUGACGGGGCCCAAAAAAAAAACACCCGCGCAAAUUGUG